GAGAAAACUCUGGCCGAGUUACGACUGCUAUUUCGAGUUCGGAAAGUCUUCUGAAGUUCAGAGCAAAUCCCAGAUGAGAAAACUUUCAUGAAUGCCGAAUGUUGUCCUAAAUCCAAUUCCUCUUAAAUUCUUCUUAACUGCGUUCGAGAAUGAGGCCCAAUGUGAAUUGCCACCACGAAAACUGAAGUAGCUGUCUCAAAAUUUGUGUAACUGCCAAAGCUUUUGGCCAUGACUGUAGGUUGUGAACUGUCUGCCUAGUCAUCAGGACUCAGAAUCCUAAUAGUCAAACUAACAGAUCAGUUGUCAGUUUGUGUUAUUGUCGUGCAUAAUAUUUGUGAUCAUUUGCUUCCAUUGUAUGGUGAUCACAUUUUUCUUUAUAUGUUCCAGGGUGAACUGAACGGGCAAGCAAAUUUUCAGUCUGCAAAUGGAGUUACGCCAGCUUCCGAUAAGAAAACAGAUUAACAUUUUGCAGUGGCAUAUUACGUUAUAUAUUAGAUAAUGUGAAGAUAUUUUAAAAUGUAAAAAUGUAAUUAUAAGUACAUGUUUGUCGAGUCUUAUUAUUGUAAACAUGAUUGUAGACAAUAUAUAAAUGCUUGAUGCAUAAAAUUAUGUUUAUAAUCAACAGUGAAAAGAAAAUAUUUAAUUGUAACACUGAAAUAUUAAGUUGUAUUUAAUAUAGGAGGAAUAUUACAACAAAAGGCAAUUAUGCACAUUAGUGUGGUUUUGCAGAUAGUAAGCGUCAUUUAAGGCCUGCAGGGAAGAAACAUGUUAGUUCUGAACCUUUCUUUAUUUUCCUUAAGUACGGCAGUGGUCAUUUAUUUGGUUUAGAACACAGCCAUGUAAUCAGCAUCACAGCAUCAUAUUUAUGAUUCAAAGUUUAUGUUCACAUUCCGUUUUAACAAUUGUAUGAUUUUUUUUUUUAUUGAUCGAAACAAUACAAUUACAUAUAGUCCAUGACAUUGCCUUGUAUUUUCCUUGCAACUAGAUGAACUGGACAUUUCUAUAUGAAUAAAAACAGUGGUUGAUAACUAAACAAUGUCAUCUUUUGUGCUGUAGUAGUAAACCAGUUGCCAUGCGGUAAUGCUGUAAAAGUGUCCCACGGGAACAUGAACAUGAAUAUAUUUUUCUUCUAGUUCUUUGUAGUAUUAGUAGUAGAUGUUCUUUUUGUUACUGUUGUUCAUUUACUCCAUACACAUUUGAAUUCUUAAAAAGCUGCGAUUACUGUGUGACGUGCUUUGUUUUAUAGUUUUAGUUGUAAGACGACGAUCAGCAAAUUUCAUUUACAUGCAGAUUUAACCUUAAACCUUGGUCAAACAGGGAGGAAAUAUUCGGUUGAACCAGGUUCAGCACCUGUCAUCAAGAUCCUGUUGGAUAGUGACGUCACGACAACGCAGGGACCAGUGGCGACGUGGAAAUAUGGUGGAUGAGUAGUAGAUACUUCUACAGCACUUCUUUCAGGAACUGAAUAAACUGUAACAACAUAUUCUGCACGGGAGCAGUUCACACCAGUGCAGGAACGGCAUCACCUGAUUACUGAGACUGCCACAUCUAACGCAAACAGCAGUUUGUCAGGUAAUAUCAUUUCAGAUCAACUGUGAAGCGAGUUGCCACCUAGUUCGCAUAGCGAGCUUGCUAGCAUUGCCAAUAUCAAUUAGCCGGCGAUCUAGCUAACGUUAACUGGGUAGCUGCCAAUUGUAUGUGCUGAUUUGCCACCGUAGCAUCAUUAGGCUCUGAAACAAAUGGCUGUGGCAAGGUGUACAUUUGUUGGCACUUGUCAUUCGCUAAAAUAUCCUGAGUUUAGACUGCUGUUCAAGUCUCUUGCUAACAAGUUAAGUUAGCUAGGAUAGCUAGAUAUCUAACGUCAUGACACUGUGAUAGUGUCGUUAGCAACACACACCGACAGUAAAAUAUGACGACCAAAUGUUUUACAUUAUUAGCUAAUGAAUUGGUAAGAUACCGUAAGAUCCUUCGUUGCAAAGCGUAAAUGAUGUCGUGUCAAAUGGCUGGCCAGUGUUGGCUACCUUUAGCUAGAUGGUACAUUGCUUCAAAUAAUUGAAUAGUUAAGUUGAGCUCAGUCAUUUAUGUAUAUUGAAUUUAGAGUUGGUCAACGUUUGUGAUGUUGCUCAAAUCAGUGUGCAUGCUCUAUUUUAUUAGCUAGCUAUAUGUCUUGCUGUUAGUCGCCUGUCAGGUAGCGUUUUUACGUUCAUCAGACAGAGUUCCAACUUACGAAUUCUAAGUAUGCUAGUUGCACAGCAAGCCAGCCAUCUACUGGUGGGGCAGUGUACACGCCCCAUGACUCAAUUUCUAGAAGUAGUUGAAUGUGUUGUGUGUUUUUCUCUGAAGGUCUUGACCAGUGAUGUAAACAAAAGUUAGAGCUACAAUCUGCAAUGAUCCCUACGCGAAGAAAUAACUUAAUGUUUUGAAUUGAGACGUCACUUUAAAUAUGAGGCUGGACUAAUUUCAUCAAUCACCAAGAAAAUAAUGUGUCAGUAAUUUAGGUAUUAUGUCAGUGUUGACUAGCUAUAUGUAGUCACUUGUACCUGGAUGACACCUGCCACAACUCCUUAGCCGCUAACAUGCACGUCUUGUGUGACAGCAAUAAGGAAGUUAAAAUGUCUGAUUUCAGUAAUCAUUGAUAUACACUCUACUUCAUGGAAGAAAGAUGAUAAAGGAAAUAGAUGGAAUAAAAGAGUGAAGAUGGAAAGAAGGAGAGAAGAGAAAAAGAGGCAUAGAAAGAUAGACAGAGGUAGUGAAAUGAUUGGCUUUGUAUAUUUAAGUUAGAAAAAAGGAAAAAUGAUGCAGCAUAGAGGGCUUAGCGAGUGAAAUAAGUAAAGAUAGAAAGUGAAAUUGAGUGAAAUGGAGAGUGUGAGAGAGGAAUUGGAGUGGGAUAGAUAGAUAGAUAGAUAGAUGGAUAGAGGGAGGAAGGCUCUGGAGAGAGGGAGAGAGAAUGAGUGAAAGUGGGACAGAGAGAAAGGGCAUGGGGGAGGAAGGAGAUGGUAAGAAUGAUCGGAAGAUAGAGUGGAAGACAGAUAUGACAUGGAAAAAAGAAGAAAGAAAUAUGGAAGGAAAGAAGGAAGAGAACUGGUACUGGUCAAAUCUGAAGAUCCAUGUGUGACAUGUAAACUUAACCUUCACUUGAAAGACGUGGCUGUCAGUUCAUCAUAGGCUAAUUAUUGCUGUAAGGGCUGUCUAGCUUGGGUUACUAUAGUCACGUCAGUACUUUUUAUUAUUAUUUUUUGGCAUCAACAUAAUUCAAUACCCUGUGUAAUACCCAUGCUCAAUGAUUAACCUUGGGUUUUCUGCUUGAAAUAGCCAAGAAGGCUAGAUUGUUUUUUUUAAACCGGAGCUUUUCAUCUGGGUGCGUGCAUGUUCCAACUUUGUGUGCACUGUGCAGUGCUUGAUUGCUAGAACCGUCAGCACUUAAGAAUCAAAGAUAUACAGAAACAGAAAAGUCAUGUUUCAGCUAACAAAGGCAUAUGAUAUGACACACUUACAUACUUGAUUAUAAAGGGACAUGUCCACUUCAGGGGGCACUAGCCCGAAGGGACCUGUCCACCUAGGGACACAAGCCUUAGAUUCCGGUAGAUAGGUGAAGUAUAUUAGCCCGACGAUGUCAUACUCAUAAUUCUAGUCAGAAUAUGAGUCUGAUAUCGCUCCAUUGGGCUGUGAUUAUGGGGCGUGUUUCAACCGAACCAGGAGAAAAAAUGCCUCUUCGCUCAAUUGGUUACCUACAACCAAUCAGAACAACGUAGUAUGUGACCAGGGGCAGCUGAUACAUUACACUUUUACCGGAUCCCGUAGGAAGGAAGGCAAAAACAUCUUUUCGAUUGACAAAUGCCUUAAUCGCGUUUCUCUGUUCCUCUUUCAAAAUUAAUGCACUGUCAAUGUCUAAAUGGACUCGAAUCUAUACAUUUCAGCUCUCCAGCGGCAGCCAUGUUUGUUGAAAACGAAUUCAACUCGUGUGUUGGUGACGUGGUUGGUUACGUUACUGUUGAUCAUCUGUCCAUCAUCGUAUAAAGCCCGCCUUAACAAUUUGAUUGGUACGGCCGAUAUCGAGCCGCAGAUAAUUUCUCCUCAAUGGAGUAAUGCCAGACCGAACUUCCCAACCAAAAAAUGUGUGGGCGGGGCUAAGUUCGGUCUGGUAUCCAGCCUAGAAGUAUAUGACAUUGUCAACCAAAAAUCUGUGAAAAGAAACAUAGGAAUAUCAAUGUAGGGCUUCACAUUGCAAGCACUAUAAUGAAAAGAAACCUACGAAUAAUAGUACAGUGCAUUUUGCUUUGCCUAGCCAAGAACGUAGGCACUUCCAUGCAUCAAGUGAACUAGAGUGCAUCAGCCUGAGAUUCCACUGUGCCACCCAUAGAAUUAAUAAAACAUGAUCAAGGAAUAGUCUACUGAUAAACACUUUAGGACAUUUGGAAUUUACAAGCACAAGUGGUUACCCUAUAAAUUAAUCUGUCAACUUCCUAUUGUUCUCCCCUUCUUUUAUUUUUAUUUUUGUAAUCUAUAAUGGGAAAGUCGCGCGCGGAAAGACGCCACUAUGCCCACAGUCCAAUCCCCACAAACACCGCUGGCGCUGAGGCAUUGAUAAAUGUUGCCAUAACAACAGAGGCGUUUAUGUGAAUGCAACUUAAUUGUUUGGCUAAAAGUUGUUCCCCCUCGGUCAGUAGGUUAGAUGAGAACCAAAUUCUGGGUGGGACACCACUGUUUUGAAAAUUGGGUGACAGUCAUGAGAUUCAGCGUCCUUGCUAGCAUGCCCACCUCCCAUGUCCGAGUUGAGUUGCGAGACUGUGCGGGACUGCUUGUCUACUCAACGCAGGUUACAUUGGUGGCGUGAUCCGGAUAGGCGUGAGGUUUAGGGGGGUGAGUGUAGCUAGCGAGUACAGUGACGUGCAGUGAGACAAACGCUAGCCU
ensembl:lncRNA